CUGACGUUCAUUUAUGUUUAUUUUGUGCUAUAAUUAAUAGUACAGAGGAAGAGAUGAUCUGCUCACUUUAUCUGAGCUCGAGACAAGACCAAAACCAUGAAAAUAUGGUCUUAUGUGUGUUCUUAAAUAUUAGUGAGUCUGGUCUUGAAUACAUGUUAGGAAAAUAUGAGCAGUUGUGAUAGUUUGGCACAAAUUGGACAUGGCCCCUUUAAGAAAUUGCCUCUUUGCAACGCCAUUGUCUACCCCUCAUUGCGCAUGUGUGUUCUACUUUCAUAGAAACUCUUAAUUCAAUUAAACCAAUUUGAGCAUCUGCAACAGUUGUAGUUGUUAAUUUUGACGACCUAAUGUAUCUUUUGAAGGAUGGAAAUGGAUUGAGGUGAACUUCAGAACAUACUUUGAACACCUUUUUAUAUGUGAAGGAUUUUAUGGGUCAGAUGGAUCAGAUAAUGGUCGAGGGGGUUGGAGUAUGAGAGAUCUCAGAUUCAGAGCCUGUGCAAUAUAAAGGUUUUUCCCCAUCACAAUAGAAGCAUCAGUGCAUAACAUGUAUGAGAACCUUAAACUGAGAAUACAUAUUAAACAGAAACAACGUGUGCUGAUAAUGCAAAAGGACAAUUGAUUUAUCAGUUAAAGUCAGUCCAUCGUUGAUUCAGUCAUGUCAUCGUCCAGCUCCGUUCAGUUCUCUUCAAAUAGUGUCUGUGCAGUCAAGUCAACAAUGUUGCCAGAGAUUGUGUCCCCAACUACGCAAGCCAAAUGUGAUAGUGACAAGGAACCAAGACUCCAUCAGUGACAGAAAUGGAGAAAAAAAAACCUUGGGAGAAACCAGGCUCAGUCAGUUCUCUUCUGGUCAGACGAAACCUGCAUGGUGUGGUUUAAUUGCAGGCUGCAACACAGCGCACCACAGUUCCAUCAACUGUCCCAAGUGUCUAUGCUUGCACUUCUCCUGCAGUCCCUAUUAUCAGCUUUAAAGCCUUGCUCUACAUUCAUUGUAAUUACCUGGAAAAGAGGGACCAGAACUUUUCUUCUGUUACAUGGAAGAAAGUCAGUCAUGCAGGUUUGGAACAACAUGAGGGUAAGUAAAUAAUAACAUAAUUUUCAUUUCUAGGUGAAUUCAGAGAAAUUAGCAUUCUGAGAAUUCCAAAAUGCUAAUUGAUGCACAUUCUUGAUUAUUUACCUGACUAGGCACAAUUCCAACAGUUUAUGACCCUUGGUUAUCUUUAAAGAGUUCAGAGUCCAAUAUAGAAACCCUUGUUUUAUUUGGGAACACCCAAUAUAUCUCUAGGUACAGUAGAAACUGGUACUGUGUUUUUUAUACAUGUACACGUAGACACCUGGUAUCAAAAUAUACUAUACUGUUUUUUAGUUACCUACUAAGUGUUGCAUAGCAACUAAACAUCAGCUGUCUUUGUAAACUCAGAUAUGGCUACAGAAAAAGAGAGAUAGAAACCACCACCUCACAAAUCAGACAAGAUAACAUUAUCUUAUUAUGACUCAUCAAAUAAGAUGGCACUUGGGCAGCAUUGAUUCUCAGUUAUAGUACUGUCAGCAUUAUGUCUGGUGAACUCUGACCUCACCUGAUGAGUUGUGAACAAGGUUGUUUUGCCUGGAGUUUUCAGAUUUGGCUACAGAUCUUGUUUGUGUGCCUUGGCGCUUUUCAGUUCACACAUAAUAGAGCCUCACCUGCAGUGGCGUGACUUGAAUGGAAUGACUCGACAGUCCUCUUUUUUUUAAAGCAGACAGAGCAAGAUAGGAG
ensembl:lncRNA